rnacentral:piRNA from 1 species
UGGAUUUUUGCAAGUUUCCAUAUUUGC